CUUUCCCUUUCCUUUUUCCAGUGGCUACUUUCCCCACACACAUAUCCUACAUCUCAUUGUGCGGACUUCUAACAUCUCUCCCGCUCAAGCCUAGAGCCUGGCUGCUAGAACAAUCAAGUCUUUGGCCUACCAGGAUCUCCCUCCUCAAAAUUUUGAUUGCAAAAAUGAAGCAAAUGAUAUCUUUUAUAAUUUUUCAUUCAAAGUGACUGUUUCCUCAACCCAGAUCAGAAACUGACAGUGCUGAUGGGCAUCCUGGGAGCUGUGAAGAAUGACAUUACACAGCAUGCAAGGUCCACCGUGGGCGCUGCUGUGGGGAACUUCCUGCUGUUCUUCAGUGACACUUUAUCCCAGGGCCCAUCUUCUGUUUUGACUGAACGUGACAGAUUAUACAAGAGUCUACAAAUAUCCAUUAACUCUUCCUGAAGAAACCAUGUUGGCCAUGCAUCUGGAAGAAAGAAAAAGGAAGUGAGGAGGAAAAACAUUAACUUAUCAGAUCAUGACCCAUAGACAUCACUUCUGCUUGCUUUAAUCAUCAUCACUAGUUAUACCAGCACACCCAGCAGUAGGGGAUGCAAAAAUACAGAUUCCAGCUGGCGUCCAUAUGCUGAGAUAAUAUACAAGAUGUUUAAUCCGAAACAUCUUAGAAUUCAAAUGUUAACUUCUUCUCAUACAGGUUUUAUAUAAAAUGUAUUUAUCUACCAUAUAUAUUCUGGUUAAAGUAUUUUACAAUUUGCCUUUUAUAGUUUUGUUUACAUAAUCUCUCCAUAUUGAAAUUCUUUGUUGUUAACAGUGUGGUUCAGCUGAACAAUAUAUGAGUGUAUCUAUAUAUUUUGUUGUUGAGUAUAUCUUUAGAAUUAAUACUUAGAAAUUCUACAUUUUCUUCAAUACUCUGAAAGUGCUCAAUUCUUUUUUUUAAUGCUCAAUUAUUCUUAAAGCACUUUUGUAAUUUGAAAUUUUUGCAUUUCAGUAUUGACUAGUGGACUUUGUUUUGACUAGGAAAAGAGCUAAAGAUAUAAUUUUCUUUUUUCUUUUAAUGAACUUUUCUAUUUGACCUAACAAAUUACUGAGUAAGUAGUGUAUGCUGGUGUAAACUGACUAGAUAGAUAGAUAGACCAAUAGAGAGUUAUCUACAUCUAUUUUGCUGCUCUGUAAAUCUAAUCUAUGUCUACCUAUUAACAAUAUCUAUCUAUCAUCUGUUUAUCUAUAUAUCGUGUCUAUCUACCUAUAAAGAUGGAGUAGAUUUUUAAAGAUUUGUUAUUGUAAUCCGAGGAUCUAUUUCUACACAAAACAGUUUUUUCAAAAGGAUUACCACCUGGUUAUUAUUCCACGUAAAUUUUAUUUCUUUUAAGUUUUCGUUUACAUUAUUCAGUUCAAACUUUCAAAAUUUACAAUUUAAUUAUUUCUUGCAUUUGAUGAAGACAUUUAGUAUGGGAGGAAGGAUGAUUUCUUAACACUAAUGGGUCAAUUUAGGAAAAUACCAUGUGCCAUCAUUUAUUCAAGCCAUCUUCUAUAUCUCACAGUAAAACUGUUGCAAAGUAAGACAUGCAAGUUAUAGAGAUUUUAGUAUUGAAAUACAAGGAAUUCCAGAAGUGAUAGAAUAAUAUACAGAUUGAUAUUAAUUUGGUUCUAAUCCAUAUGUUUCUCCUUACUUAAAAAUUCAAUCAGCUUUCCCAUUGUAUUUCUAUCUUGACAAUGGACAACCAACUGGUCAAAUGUCACUGCUGGUAUUUCUGUGGAAGAUAUUAGGUUAGGCUAACCCAUAGAAAGUUGUAUAUGUAUCAUAUGUAUCUUCUAUAUUCCCAUGAGGGUGAUUUAUCUAUUCCACUAACAGCCAAUUUGUGGUAAUAAUAAUAAUAAUAAUAAUACUUUUCCUAAAGUGGCAGCUCCCUCAUGUACUACUAAUUUAACGGUCCAAUAGAGAAAACUCAGGAAAGAAGUAUUUUUGGAGUUAGACUCACUUGUGCUCUUCUCUAGCAGAGACAUAAAUCAGCAAAUCUAGACAUUUACUGACCACGGCCAAUGUAAUGUUUCUACCUCAGAUCUCUCUCAUGGCUUGUCAGCCCGCUAUCAUCUGAGACACUCAACAGUUGUCAAAGGAAAGCAAUGGUCUUAUAUGGGGCUACUGGAUCUGAGUAUAUUCAAAGUCAUACCUGUAGAUAAAAUUAUUGUCAAAUGUUUAAUGUGAUUCAAGAACCUGAAACAAAAUAAAGCAAAAGACAAAACUAUUACAGCACAUGCAUACUACUUGAAUACACCUAGUGGUAGAGACAAAACAAAAAAUUUAAAACACUGUAAAAUAUAAAGUGCAAUGCAUUUAAGCAGUUAAAGAAAAUUACAUGUGAAUAAGAAAAGGUUUGUGAUAUUAAAACAAUACAUUAAAUAAAUUAAAAUUUAAUAAAUUAUAUAUAAUAUAUAUAAAUUAAAAUUUAAUAAACUUAAUAAAUUAAAAAUAAGUUAUUUAACAAACUGAAAAAAUAGAACACUAUUUAAAAAUAUUACUAGUCUAAGCUGCAAAUUCUGGGAAUUUUUUCAGCUCUCAAGGAAAACCAGAAAAAAAACUUUAAAAAAAUUAAUGGGGCAUAUCAUAUAUCUAUGUCCUACAGAUAUGUGGGAUAGCUCCAUAUAAUUUUUUUUGAUAGCUCCAUAUAAUUUUGUGAAUAAGUAUACAAAUAUUAUAUAUAUCACAUAUUAUAUACACAUAUAAAAUAUAUAUAAUGUAUAGAUACACACAAUCUCAGUCUGUUCAUAAAUUAAACUUAUAAAUCUCAUCUGUAAAUUAAUAUUCAUCAGUAAAGUCUUUUAUAACUAAUGCUUGAAUAAAUCAAUAAUCAAACACUUUCAAGAAUAUAACACUGACAAGUACUAUGUGUUAAAGCGGAAAGGAUUUAGCUACAAUGAUGCUCAGAAUAAAACUCAUAGUAUCAACUUCAAUAUUAAAUAAAUUACAAGAAACUAAAACAUUCUUUCAAAAAAAGGAACUAAGCAUUCAGAUAAAAAGGAGAGUCAUACUAAAAAAACUAAAUAGAGA